UUUAAUAGGCUUUGGCAGCACAAGUCUCAACAAGACGAUCCACCCCUGCUAAUCUAGAGCAUACGGGUUUUCUCUUUUUUUUUUUUUAAAGAAAAAUAAAAAAUCUGAAUAUAAUUUCUCUAAGCUGCAAUUUAUAAUGCUAACGUUUUACCCCCUCAUUAAGGAGGGGAAGAAAGCUUCUAAGCCACUCUAUUGAGCUGUUGGAAAACGUCUUACAUUGAAAUUCUGAUUUAGAGAUAGGCACAAUCCAUCUGCUUUGCAUACCUUUGCCCUUUAAACCAGUAUUUGUGAUAUAAAGAAGCACACAGCUUGCAGAGUAGCUGGGAUGCUGAGACCACAAGCCCCCCAGUAAUUACCAGAUGGAAAUGAUGCUCAGUCAGAAGCAGCCUGUGCCACAUUCAGGCAGAGAAAUCUUGAGGAGGAAUCUCUGCUCCCACUGCUGCAUUGCAGAGGCCAGAGAAACACAGCAAACUCUGAAUGGGAAUAGAGAAUAUCCACGUCAGUGUGUGAGUGGUGUCCAGAGCAGAUUAAGGAAAAAAAGACUCAUAUUUCAAAGGCAAGGAAGACCUUGGAUGUGCUGGUGUGUGCUUUGGAGUGCAAACCCAGUACAGCAAGAGUGGUACACUCAGGUAUUUUGCAGCACCAUUUUUUCCUCUUGCAUGUGGUGA
rnacentral:lncRNA from 1 species